GUACAACUCAAUAGGGCCUGGGUGGGCGACCAAUCCCCUGAAAGGGGGUGAGGCCUUGACGGUGUAUCAAUCACUUUCACUAAUGAUUGCGUUUGCAACCUUGGUUGUGCUGAUACUCAGACAUAAGCAAAAGUAGCCCGCCCAGCAAGCGAGAGCUACUUUUGCUUUCGAUACCCCUGUUAGGCCGCCCAUUGACGGCUGUGAGUUGUGCUACCGGGAUGUUUGCCGCGUCCCGG
rnacentral:sRNA from 1 species